rnacentral:lncRNA from 8 species
AUUUUCCAUUUGUUUUGUCUUUGUCUUACACACCUGGUUUCAAUUCCCCAAUUACUUGUUCAUUAUUUAACCCUCUGUUCCCCUAUGUUUUUUGGUGAGUAAUUGUUUAUUGUAUUGCGGUCCGUAUUUUGUGGCCUUGUAUUUUUACAACGUGUAUUGUGAUAUUAUUGAGUAAAAUUGCUUUCAUGACUCAUAUCUGCUGUCCUGCGCCUGACUCAUCUCACCAGCUAUACAAAGACACUUUACAUGGGCAAAUAAGACAAUGAAACAUGGAAGAUAUGCAACCUUGGUUAACGCAGCAAACAAGCUGGUACAUAGGUUCCACAAGGUAGGAGUGUACCCCCUGCUACUCCUCAGCAAAAGGAAGGAUAACAUUUUGUCGUCAACUGCACUGUGUCAGACCUCAAUGGCAGCAAUCCAAAGGUUGUAUGAGGCAAUUGUGAAAGUGGCAAUCAACACCCAUGCCCCCACACUACAACCCUCCAACCCUCCUCCUGUUGCUGCCUAA